AUGAACGCUAGCGGCAGGCUUAACACAUGCAAGUCAGGGGCAGCAUAAUGGAUAGCAAUAUCUAUGGUGGCGACCGGCGCACGGGUGCGUAACGCGUAUGCAACCUACCUUUAACAGGGGGAUAACACUGAGAAAUUGGUACUAAUACCCCAUAAUAUCAUAGAAGGCAUCUUUUAUGGUUGAAAAUUCCGAUGGUUAGAGAUGGGCAUGCGUUGUAUUAGCUAGUUGGUGAGGUAACGGCUCACCAAGGCGACGAUACAUAGGGGGACUGAGAGGUUAACCCCCCACACUGGUACUGAGACACGGACCAGACUCCUACGGGAGGCAGCAGUGAGGAAUAUUGGUCAAUGGACGCAAGUCUGAACCAGCCAUGCCGCGUGCAGGAUGACGGCUCUAUGAGUUGUAAACUGCUUUUGUACUAGGGUAAACUCACCUACGUGUAGGUGACUGAAAGUAUAGUACGAAUAAGGAUCGGCUAACUCCGUG
rnacentral:rRNA from 1 species